rfam:Opisthocomus hoazin contig2149, whole genome shotgun sequence.
GGGGAUGUAGCUCAGCGGGAGAGCGCUUGCUUUGCAUGCAAGAGGCCCUGGGUUCAACCCCCAGCAUCUCCA